GACGGAGGAUGCAAGCGUUAUCCGGAAUUAUUGGGCGUAAAGCGUCCGCAGGUGGCUAGUCAAGUCUGCUGUCAAAGCGCGGAGCUUAACUUCGUAAAGGCAGUGGAAACUGAUUAGCUAGAGCAUGGUAGGGGUAGAGGGAAUUCCCGGUGUAGCGGUGAAAUGCGUAGAGAUCGGGAAGAACACCAGUGGCGAAAGCGCUCUACUGGGCCACGACUGACACUGAGGGACGAAAGCUAGGGGAGCGAAAGGG
rnacentral:rRNA from 1 species